GAUUUUACUAAACUACUCGCCUUCCACUAUGCUUCACACCAGUACCGCCUCACACCACACACACACACACAACACUGGAAUUUUGUAGGGCACAUAGAGGCACGAUGAAGUGGAGAAGAAUCGCCUACGCUAAACGGCAAAAAGACAUCUCGCGAAGCUUGCCAAAGCUGAUUGCCAUCGGAUUACACAUCGGCGCCGUCGAAGAAGACUCAUGAAGCUUGCGAUAGGCGAACGCUAUUGGACUACACAUCUGCGGCGUCGAACAAGAUCUCACCAUCUGCAAAACCCACCGAUCAUCAGUUUCCUUGCGUGGUCCAAAUGGCUUCCAUACGUACUUCACCUCGUACCCAAGCGAAAAACAAAGGCAUAUCUUUGGAGAAGUCAAGCAGUGUGGAAGAGACACAGAAGCAGUUCAACCACAAGGCCUCCUAGGACAAUGACUCCAUCCGAAUUUUCCUGCAGUUGAUUGCCAAUGAAAUUACAAAAGGAAAUCGGCCAUUCCUAGUCCUAAGCCAAGCUAGGUACAAGUCGUUGGCGAGGAAAUUUGAGAAAAAAACUGGAAGACAACAUGGCCUCAAGCAGUUGAAGAAUAAAUACAUGAGUCUGAAAAAAGAAUGGAAUGCUUGGAGAAAGUUGAUGGAUUCCAGUCGAGGAGUGUCAGGGAUUGACUUUGACAGCAAGACUGGUAUGUUCCAGGCGUCUGAUGAGUGGUGGGAUAAGAUGGAAUCGUGUCAAAUUUUGUAGACAAACAAGGCCUGUGCGAAGUUCAAGAAAAAAAUAUUGGAACAUUGCGAGUUGAUGGAGACGGUCUUUACAGGGGCAUCAGCUACUGGUAAGCACCAUUGGACUCAAGGAGAGAAAUUUGAUGAACCUGCCGACAUCUCAUCCGAUUUUGUGGACAGUCUCGGCGCCCAACCAUUUGUUGAUCCGAUACCUAUACGCGCACAGGACGUCGAUUCAGAUUCUUCACUUGAACUUGUGGCGACUGUUAAAGAGAAUAGGAAACGGACUCCGUCAAGUUGUGGCAAGUCGAAGAAGGCCACAAGUGGAGCGUCAGUUAUUGCAGAAAGCAUGAACAAUCUGACAAACGUGGUGCGUACUUAGAAUCAGCAAGUUACAAUCAGGCACCUCAUAGGUAACGAAUCACUGUACACAAUUUCGGAGUGCAUGCACCGGUUGAGGAACAUUCCUGCCCUUCUCGAUACGCCGUUAUUCCAUUUUUCCUCAACAUUGAUAGAUAACGCAGAUUAUUGGGAGGUGAUGAUGUGCUAGCCUGAUGACGACUACAUUAUCGGCUGGCUCACACAGAAGCAGCUGCAGUGUAGUGCGGAGGCGUCAUUUGCAAACCUGUUUGGGGCUUGCCGGAUUUGGUAUAGCGGUGUCAUGCUGAAGAUGCGUUCCCAUUAUCUAGCUUUCAAAAACUUUUACUUAUGUUAUGUUGGAUUUGUAAUAAACAGGAUGGUUGUGCGUGCUGUCUUUAUUUCUUUUUUCUUUAAAUUUUUUGCCCCAGUUUGGUGAAACAAUAUUUGCAGGUUAUUUUCUAUUUUUCGACGAUUACAGUUUGUU